UACGGAGGGUGCGAGCGUUGUCCGGAUUUAUUGGGUUUAAAGGGUGCGUAGGCGGCUUUUUAAGUCAGUGGUGAAAUACAGCAGCUCAACUGUUGAGGUGCCAUUGAUACUGAGAGGCUUGAGUACAGAUGAGGUAGGCGGAAUUUAUGGUGUAGCGGUGAAAUGCAUAGAUACCAUAAAGAACACCGAUUGCGAAGGCAGCUUACUAAGCUGUAACUGACGCUGAGGCACGAAAAGCGUG
rnacentral:rRNA from 1 species